CGUGCUGAUCGAGUUCGGCGCGUUCGCGGCGCUGGUGGCGCUGCGCGGCGCGGCCGGCGACGGCGGCACGAUCGAGUCGUACCGGGGCGCC
rnacentral:tRNA from 1 species